rnacentral:lncRNA from 1 species
GGAAAGAGUGACUUUCAAGAACUCUGGAGAGAAAUCAUACUAUUAUCAUGAAAACUCUACUUGCCCCCUGCAAAUCAUCUGAUAGGUGCCAAACAAAAUAAAACAGGAGUAUUCAGUAAAAUUUACUCCUUAUCACCAUUUUUCCCUUUGCAAGGGCUACAGGAGAGCUUUCCUCCUGGCCCUCUGAAGGUUUGCUGAAAAAUAAAUUCACAAAAGGCAGAUUAAUAGAAGAAAAGGCAUACAAAUUUAUUUAACAUGUGUACCCAGGAGCCCUCAGAAUGAAGACCCAAAGACACAGGGGAAAUGGUCUAUUUUUUGCUUUGGUUCAACCAAGUAUGGACAGCCAUGUAGAAAUAUGAUUGGACAAAAAGUGUGUGAUCUAAUGCUAAUAGUCUGCGUGGGGGAACCCAGCAAGGCGUGUCCAUCUAGAUUCCUCUUGGCUUCUCUGAGCAGCAUUCCUUCCCUCUGGGUAUGGGGCAGGAACCUUUCCAGAAUGGGAGUCUUAUAACCUAUCAUCAAACAAGGAAGUGGAGGAUCACAUCUCACCCUGCAAGUGCGAGCUAUGCAGAGUGCUGUUCUGCUGAGGAAUGCGUAUGGAAAGGUGAGGAAAGCAACCACACAGCGGAUAAAGUUGAGAAACACUACCUCAGCCCUGUGGCCAAGGUCAGCAUCAACAGCGACACAUUAUGUUGGUGGUAUAUACUCACAUGAUGUGGUCAUGUGAUGUGGUGAUGAGAAGAGCAUUUCCUCCUCAAAGCCCAUAACCCCAUUCUAAUAAUGAGAAAACUAUCAGCAAACCCCAAAUUGAGGCACAGAGUGCAAAGUGCCUGGCCGGUACUCCUCAGAACUGUCAAGGUCACCAAAAACAUGGACAGACCCAGCAACUGCCACAGCCCAGAGGAGCCUAAGACGAGAUGAAUAAAUGUCAUAUAGUCUCCUGAAUACCAUCCAUGAGCAGAAAAAGGACAUUGGGUGAAAACCAAGGACAUCUGAAUAAGGCCAACCUCCUCCACAGCCAUCAAAGUGAUGCUUACGAGACCCAAAGCUGAUCAAGCCAUCGACCACUUAGAUUCUGCAGGCACUCUCUGUCACGCCAAACAUUGUAUGUACAACUCAG